rnacentral:rRNA from 1 species
UACGUAGGUGGCAAGCGUUGUCCGGAAUUAUUGGGCGUAAAGCGCGCGCAGGUGGUCCUUUAAGUCUGAUGUGAAAGCCCACGGCUCAACCGUGGAGGGUCAUUGGAAACUGGGGGACUUGAGUGCAGAAGAGGAUAGUGGAAUUCCAAGUGUAGCGGUGAAAUGCGUAGAGAUUUGGAGGAACACCAGUGGCGAAGGCGACUAUCUGGUCUGUAACUGACACUGAGGCGCGACAGCUUUGGGAGCAAACAGG